AGAGUUUGAUCCUGGCUCAGAGUGAACGCUGGCGGUGCGCCUAAAACAUGCAAGUCGAAUGGGUUUAGACCCAUGGCGAACGGCUGCGUAACACGUGGGUACCUACCCCGAACUCAGGGAUAACCCUCCGAAAGGAGGGCUAAUACCGGAUGCCCUCGCAAGAGGAAAGAUUUUUCGGUUCGGGAGGGGCCUGCGGCCUAUCAGUUAGUUGGUGAGGUAAUGGCUCACCAAGACGAUGACGGGUAGCUGGUCUGAGAGGACGACCAGCCAGAAUGGAACUGAGACACGGUCCAUACUCCUACGGGAGGCAGCAGUUAGGAAUCUUCCGCAAUGGGCGAAAGCCUGACGGAGCGACACCGCGUGAAGGAUGAAGCCCUUUUUGGGUGUAAACUUCUGUUGUGAGGGACGAAAUUUUUGACGGUACCUCACGAGAAAGCACCGGCUAAUUCUGUGCCAGCAGCCGCGGUAAU
rnacentral:rRNA from 1 species